rnacentral:rRNA from 1 species
UACGGAGGGGGCUAGCGUUGUUCGGAAUUACUGGGCGUAAAGCGCACGUAGGCGGCUUUGCAAGUCCCAUGUGAAAGCCCACGGCUUAACCGUGGAAGUGCAUGGGAAACUGCAGAGCUUGAGUACUUAAGAGGAUCGCGGAAUUCCCGGUGUAGAGGUGAAAUUCGUAGAUAUCGGGAGGAACACCAGUGGCGAAGGCGGCGAUCUGGGAAGAUACUGACGCUGAGGUGCGAAAGCGUGGGGAGCAAACAGG